rnacentral:tRNA from 1 species
UCCCAUGUGGUCUAGUGGCUAGGAUACCUGGCUUUCACCCAGGAGCCCCGGGUUCGAUUCCCGGCAUGGGAA